ACUAAAGUGGCAGAUUAGUGCUAUAAAGUUAAGUUUUAUAUAUGAAUUUUAUUCCUUUAGUU
rnacentral:tRNA from 1 species